rnacentral:rRNA from 1 species
AGCGAACGCUGGCGGCAUGCCUAACACAUGCAAGUCGCACGGGGGGGCUUCGGCCUCCCAGUGGCGGACGGGUGAGGAACGCGUAGGGACCUGUCGAGGGGUGGGGGAUAACCGCGGGAAACUGCGGCUAAUACCGCAUGACGCCGCGGCGUGACAGCCGGGGCCAAAGGCGAAAGCCGCCCGCCGAGGGGCCUGCGUCCGAUUAGCUGGUUGGCGGGGUAGCGGCCCACCAAGGCGUCGAUCGGUAGCUGGUCUGAGAGGGUGAUCAGCCACACCGGGACUGAGACACGGCCCGGACUCCUACGGGAGGGAGCAGUGGGGGAUAUUGGACAAUGGGCGCAAGCCUGAUCCAGCAAGGCCGCGUGGGUGAAGAAGGUCUUCGGAUUGUAAAGCCCCUUCGGCGGGGACGAUGGUGACGGUACCCGCAGAAGAAGCCCCGGCUAACUUCGUG